rnacentral:rRNA from 1 species
UACGGAGGAUGCAAGCGUUAUCCGGAAUGAUUGGGCGUAAAGCGUCCGCAGGUGGCAGUUCAAGUCUGCUGUCAAAGACCGGGGCUUAACUUCGGAAAGGCAGUGGAAACUGAACAGCUAGAGUAUGGUAGGGGCAGAGGGAAUUCCUGGUGUAGCGGUGAAAUGCGUAGAGAUCAGGAAGAACACCGGUGGCGAAAGCGCUCUGCUGGACCUAAACUGACACUGAGGGACGAAAGCUAGGGGAGCGAAUGGG